rnacentral:rRNA from 1 species
UACGUAGGUGGCAAGCGUUGUCCGGAUUUACUGGGCGUAAAGAGCGCGCAGGCGGUCGAAUAAGUCGAAUGUGAAAGCCCCCGGCUUAACUGGGGAGGGUCACUCGAUACUGCUCGACUUGAAGGCAGGAGAGGGUAGUGGAAUUCCCGGUGUAGUGGUGAAAUGCGUAGAUAUCGGGAGGAACACCAGUGGCGAAGGCGACUUCCUGGCCUGUUCUUGACGCUGAGGCGCGAAAGCUAGGGGAGCAAACGGG